CGGUCAGUGUGUGGUGUAGGAAGUGUUGUGCGAAUUGUGCGGAUAUGGUGACGUGGUGAGGGCGGUGAUGGUGCUCCUGGUGUAAGGCAGUGAUGGGUGUGUUGCAUCUCAUAAGUGACAUAAGGACAUUCAGAUGGUCCAGGAGGCGAGGGACGGAGAAGGUGGCCAUCGAACUAUUGUGAAGGGAUGGCGGCACAGUGGGGAGGAGGAACGAACAUCGGACUGGUGGAGGUGACGUCACAGGAGCGGAGAACUGUAUCGGUGUGUGACGUGGCUUGUGACUGUGGGAAUGAGGACGAGAAGACGCCGGGAAGCAAUGGGACGAUCAUUCACAAGGACGAGGGAACGCUGCUGGCCGGGGAAGGUGUGGAGUCUGCUAAUUAAGAGAACACGGACAGGUCGCCAUAAGCGUGUUGCGGCGGUGAUAGCAUCGGUGACACGCCUUCCUCCCCUUCCCAUCUCGAGGGAAAAAGCAAGGGACUGAAGUACCACUACCACCACCACCACCACUACCGCCACCGCCACCGCCACCGCCGCCACCGCCAUCAUUAUUAUUAACAUUGUCAUUAUUACCUGAGUGGCGUCGAGUCCAUAUUUUCCUGAGCGAUACUUCGACUAUUAUCUCGCCUUGUAACGAGGAAUGGGACCGACACCACCACCACUACCACCAUCACCACCACCACCUCCACCUCCACCACCGCCGCCCGCCUGCUUGAUAAGACGCGUGCAUUCCUUCCAUUCCCGCAGGCAG